GCCCAACUGAUAGAUGAUGCUUGCAUCAGCUUGACGUUGGAUUCCCAGUGAGUGGCGGACGGGUGAGUAACACGUGGGUAACCUGCCCCGGAGCGGGGGAUAACAUUUGGAAACAGAUACUAAUACCGCAUAACAACGAAAACCACAUGGUUUUCGUUUAAAAGAUGGCUUAUGCUAUCACUCUGGGAUGGACCCGCGGUGCAUUAGCUAGUUGGUAAGGUAACGGCUUACCAAGGC
rnacentral:rRNA from 1 species